UCUUGGUCAUUUAGAGGAAGUAAAAGUCGUAACAAGGUCUCCGUUGGUGAACCAGCGGAGGGAUCAUUACCGAGUUUACAACUCCCAAACCCCUGUGAACAUACCAAUUGUUGCCUCGGCGGAUCAGCCCGCUCCCGGUAAAACGGGACGGCCCGCCAGAGGACCCCUAAACUCUGUUUCUAUAUGUAACUUCUGAGUAAAACCAUAAAUAAAUCAAAACUUUCAACAACGGAUCUCUUGGUUCUGGCAUCGAUGAAGAACGCAGCAAAAUGCGAUAAGUAAUGUGAAUUGCAGAAUUCAGUGAAUCAUCGAAUCUUUGAACGCACAUUGCGCCCGCCAGUAUUCUGGCGGGCAUGCCUGUUCGAGCGUCAUUUCAACCCUCAAGCCCUCGGGUUUGGUGUUGGGGAUCGGCGAGCCCUUGCGGCAAGCCGGCCCCGAAAUCUAGUGGCGGUCUCGCUGCAGCUUCCAUUGCGUAGUAGUAAAACCCUCGCAACUGGUACGCGGCGCGGCCAAGCCGUUAAACCCCCAACUUCUGAAUGUUGACCUCGGAUCAGGUAGGAAUACCCGCUGAACUUAAGCAUAUCAAUAAGCGGAGGAA
rnacentral:rRNA from 1 species